GACGAACGCUGGCAGCGUGCCUAAUACAUGCAAGUUGAGCGAUGAAGAUUGGUGCUUGCACCAAUUUGAAGAGCAGCGAACGGGUGAGUAACGCGUGGGGAAUCUGCCUUUGAGCGGGGGACAACAUUUGGAAACGAAUGCUAAUACCGCAUAACAACUUUAAACAUAAGUUUUAAGUUUGAAAGAUGCAAUUGCAUCACUCAAAGAUGAUCCCGCGUUGUAUUAGCUAGUUGGUGAGGUAAAGGCUCACCAAGGCGAUGAUACAUAGCCGACCUGAGAGGGUGAUCGGCCACAUUGGGACUGAGACACGGCCCAAACUCCUACGGGAGGCAGCAGUAGGGAAUCUUCGGCAAUGGACGAAAGUCUGACCGAGCAACGCCGCGUGAGUGAAGAAGGUUUUCGGAUCGUAAAACUCUGUUGGUAGAGAAGAACGUUGGUGAGAGUGGAAAGCUCAUCAAGUGACGGUAACUACCCAGAAAGGGACGGCUAACUACGUG
rnacentral:rRNA from 1 species